UAGCAACGGAUUUUCCGUUGCGAAAACAAUUCCAGGAAAAAAAAAAAAAGACAUGGUUUGCAACGGAUUAGCCGUUGCAA
rnacentral:sRNA from 1 species